rnacentral:rRNA from 1 species
CCUACGGGUGGCAGCAGUGGGGAAUAUUGCGCAAUGGGCGAAAGCCUGACGCAGCGACGCCGCGUGAGGGAUGAAGGUCUUCGGAUCGUAAACCUCUGUCAGCAGGGAAGAACGGUCACUGGGCUAAACAGCAGUGAAUUGACGGUACCGGCAAAGGAAGCACCGGCUAACUCCGUGCCAGCAGCCGCGGUAAUCCGGAGGGGGCGAGCGUUGCUCGGAAUUACUGGGCGUAAAGCGCGCGUAGGCGGUAUGUCAAGUCACGUGUGCAAGCCUCGCGCGCAACGUGGGAACUGCCUUUGAAACUGGCGACCUGGAGUGUGUGAGAGGUUAGUGGAAUUCCAGGUGUAGCCGU